AGUGGGAUAGCUGGGUGAAAUGGUGGUUCCAUUCCAAGUUUUUUGAGGAUUCUCCAUACUGUUUUCUGAAAUGGUUGCACCAAUUUGCAGUCCCACCAGCAAU
rnacentral:pre_miRNA from 1 species